rnacentral:tRNA from 1 species
GCCUGGGUGGUUUAGUUGGUUAAGCGUCUGACUUCAGCUCAGGUCAUGAUCUCAUGGUUUGUGAGUUCGAGCCCUGCUCUGGGCU